GAUGAACGCUGGCGGCGUGCCUAAUACAUGCAAGUCGAGCGAAUGGAUUAAGAGCUUGCUCUUAUGAAGUUAGCGGCGGACGGGUGAGUAACACGUGGGUAACCUGCCCAUAAGACUGGGAUAACUCCGGGAAACCGGGGCUAAUACCGGAUAACAUUUUGAACCGCAUGGUUCGAAAUUGAAAGGCGGCUUCGGCUGUCACUUAUGGAUGGACCCGUGUCGCAUUAGCUAGUUGGUGAGGUAACGGCUCACCAAGGCAACGAUGCGUAGCCGACCUGAGAGGGUGAUCGGCCACACUGGACUGAGACACGGCCCAGACUCCUACGGGAGGCAGCAGUAGGGAAUCUUCCGCAAUGGACGAAAGUCUGACGGAGCAACGCCGCGUGAGUGAUGAAGGCUUUCGGGUCGUAAAACUCUGUUGUUAGGGAAGAACAAGUGCUAGUUGAAUAAGCUGGCACCUUGACGGUACCUAACCAGAAAGCCACGGCUAACUACGUGCCAGCCGCCGCGGUAA
rnacentral:rRNA from 1 species